rnacentral:rRNA from 1 species
AGUGAACGCUGGCGGUAGGCCUAACACAUGCAAGUCGAACGGCAGCACAGGAGAGCUUGCUCUCUGGGUGGCGAGUGGCGGACGGGUGAGGAAUACAUCGGAAUCUACUUUUUCGUGGGGGAUAACGUAGGGAAACUUACGCUAAUACCGCAUAUGACCUACGGGUGAAAGCAGGGGACCUUCGGGCCUUGCGCGAUUGAAUGAGCCGAUGUCGGAUUAGCUAGUUGGCGGGGUAAAGGCCCACCAAGGCGACGAUCCGUAGCUGGUCUGAGAGGAUGAUCAGCCACACUGGAACUGAGACACGGUCCAGACUCCUCCGGGAGGCAGCAGUGGGGAAUAUUGGACAAUGGGCGCAAGCCUGAUCCAGCCAUACCGCGUGGGUGAAGAAGGCCUUCGGGUUGUAAAGCCCUUUUGUUGGGAAAGAAAUCCAGCCGGCUAAUACCUGGUUGGGAUGACGGUACCCAAAGAAUAAGCACCGGCUAACUUCGUGCCAGCCGCCGCCGUAAGAC